GCGCUCACUUCAGCAGCAAAUAUACUAAAAUAGGAACGAUACAGAGAAGAUUAGCAUGGCCCCUGCACUAUGAUGACACACAAAUUCGUGGAGCGUUCCAUAUUUUU
rnacentral:snRNA from 1 species